AGCGGCGAAAGGGAGAGUAACGCGUGGAUAUCUGCCCUGGGCUCCAGAAUAGCUACGGGAAACUGUAGGUAAUGCUGGAUAAUAUCUCCGGAUCAAAGGUGUGAUUCCGGCCGAGGAUGAGUCCGCGUCCUAUUAGAUUGUUGGUGGGGUAACGGCCUACCAAGUCGAAGAUGGGUACCGGGUGUGAGAGCAUGGCCCGGCUCACUGGGACUGAGACACUGCCCAGACGUCUACGGACGGCUGCAGUCGAGAAUCUUCCGCAAUGGGCGCAAGCCUGACGGAGCGACGCCGCGUGCGGGAUGAAGGCCUUCGGGUUGUAAACCGCUGUCAGUUGGGAGGAAAUGCUAUGGGGUUCUCUCCAUAGUUUGACCGAUCUUCAGAGGAAGUACGGGCUAAGUACGUGCCAGCAGCCGCGGUAAUACGUACCGUACGAACGUUAUUCGGAAUUACUGGGCUUAAAGAGUCCGUAGGCGGCUUUAAAGGUGAGGUGUGAAAUCCCACGGCUCAACCGUGGAAUUGCGCUUCAAACCAUAAGGCUUGAGGGAGAUAGAGGAAAGCGGAACUGAUGGUGGAGCGGUGAAAUGCGUUGAUAUCAUCAGGAACACCGGUGGCGAAAGCGGCUUUCUGGGUCUCUUCUGACGCUGAGGGACGAAAGCUAGGGGAGCGAACGGGAUUAGAUACCCCGGUAGUCCUAGCUGUAAACGAUGAGCACUAGUUCGAGGGGACCCCCACAUCCUCUUGGACGUAGCGAAAGUGUUAA
rnacentral:rRNA from 1 species